AUCCAACCCAUUCAUCGACGCCAGUUCGUUAACUCCUAACGGAUUUACCCAAACGAAGGUCACCUGUGUGGAAGUCUGCCGUCACUCAUCUGCCGUCCUGAACCGAGCUCGGAGUCCUCCAGCCGCGGUGUUCCCUCCAGCCUCGCCACGAGCCACGUCCGGAUUCCCUCCUGUCAAAGGAUUUAUUCUCUUCAACUUUUCCUGUGAUUAAACUCACUUACCAAGUUACUUACCCGACUGAUCAUUCUGAGUUCCAGCAUCUGGGUCUGUCUCGCCUGAAAACCAUGACA